rnacentral:rRNA from 1 species
AGCGAACGCUGGCGGCAGGCCUAACACAUGCAAGUCGAGCGCCCAGCAAUGGGAGCGGCAGACGGGUGAGUAACGCGUGGGGAUCUGCCCUUUGGUACGGAAUAACCCAGGGAAACUUGGACUAAUACCGUAUGUGCCCUUCGGGGGAAAGAUUUAUCGCCAAAGGAUGAACCCGCGUCUGAUUAGCUAGUUGGUGGGGUAAUGGCCCACCUAGGCGACGAUCAGUAGCUGGUCCGAGAGGAUGAUCAGCCACACUGGGACUGAGACACGGCCCAGACUCCUACGGGAGGCAGCAGUGGGGAAUAUUGGACAAUGGGCGAAAGCCUGAUCCAGCCAUGCCGCGUGAGUGAUGAAGGCCUUAGGGUUGUAAAGCUCUUUCGCCGGUGAAGAUAAUGACGGUAACCGGAGAAGAGGCCCCGGCUAACUUCGUGCCAGCCGCCGCGGUAAAAC